AACCAAUUGGCAUUAAAAUAAAUCAAUUUCAUUUUUUUUGCAAAAUUUCCCAAAAAAAACGUAAGGGGUAAGCCUUAUGAAAUUUUCGAGUUGAAAUUUUUUUGAAAAUUUUUUUCUGAUUUUUUAUUCUUUUUUUAGCUUAAAGCAUUAUUUGAGUGAAAAGAAACUUAUUGCAACAAAUUCCCAUUAAAAUAUAUAACAUUUAAAAAUUUUGCUACAUUGCUCAAAAAUGAGGAAAAUUUUACAUUUUCUCAAACAGGGUAUGGAACUUGGUUUCUCAGAUAGCUUCUAGCAUAGACAUCUGAGGACAUGGCCGUCCAAGAAGAAAAUGUAGCCAUUGGUGCCAUCUAUCGACCACAGGUUAAAGAUUGGCGUUCCGUUGGAUACCGACCGAGUUAUAGGCAAAACUUGGUGCAAAAAUGAGGAAAAUUUUACAUUUUCUCAAACAGGGUAAGGAACUUGGUUCCUCGAAUAACUUCUGGCACAGACAUCUGAGGACAUGGCCGUCCAAGAAGAAAAUGUAGCCAUUGAUGCCAUCUAUCGACCGCAGGUUAAAGAUUGGCGAUCCGUUGGAUACCGACCGAGUUAUAGGCAAAACUUGGUGCAAAAAUGAGGAAAAUUUU